UACGGAGGGAGCUAGCGUUGUUCGGAAUUACUGGGCGUAAAGCGCACGUAGGCGGCGAUUCAAGUCAGAGGUGAAAAGCCCCGGGGGCUCAACCCCCGGAACUGCCUUUUGAAAACUAGAUUGCUAGAAUCUUGGAGAGGCGAGUGGAAUUCCGAGUGUAGAGGUGAAAUUCGUAGAUAUCGGAAGGAACAUCAGUGGCGAAAGCGGCUUCCUGGACCAGCACCGACGUUCAGGCACGAAAGCGUGGGGAGCAAACAGG
rnacentral:rRNA from 1 species